rnacentral:rRNA from 2 species
UCGUCACACUAUCAUUAACUGAAUCCAUAGGUUAAUGAGGCGAACCGGGGGAACUGAAACAUCUAAGUACCCCGAGGAAAAGAAAUCAACCGAGAUUCCCCCAGUAGCGGCGAGCGAACGGGGAGGAGCCCAGAGCCUGAAUCAGCAUGUGUGUUAGUGGAAGCGUCUGGAAAGGCGCGCGAUACAGGGUGACAGCCCCGUACACAAAAGCGCAUGUGCUGUGAGCUCGAUGAGUAGGGCGGGACACGUGGUAUCCUGUCUGAAUAUGGGGGGACCAUCCUCCAAGGCUAAAUACUCCUGACUGACCGAUAGUGAACCAGUACCGUGAGGGAAAGGCGAAAAGAACCCCGGCGAGGGGAGUGAAAAAGAACCUGAAACCGUGUACGUACAAGCAGUGGGAGCACCCUUUGGGUGUGACUGCGUACC